CCCUCUUCCUUUCACCGUCCCCCUUCCGCUCCAAAAGUCAUCUCUAGAUCCCUAGUCUUGACUCUUCCCCUCUGACAUUCUUUUGGUUCUUCUUUCCUCCUCAUUUAGGCACAGUAUCUGCCACCUACGACACCUAUUUCUUCGUCUUUGCUCCCCCCUAGCUAUAAACAUGCUCAGAAAUCAAAGGAAAAUAGGGCUUUUCCUUGAUACUGUUAGGUCUUGAACGAGUCAAUGGAUUCCAGAUCUCUCUACAGGGAAGUCUACACCCAAGCGGCUACAGAGCACAUGGAUCUGAGGGCCAGCAACACUGACAUCUCCUGACAGCUUGUUAGACAUGUAGAAUCCCAGACGUGCUGCUCACAAUGUGUGUUUUUUAACAAGGUCUAAGCUGAUUCAUUAAAAUUUGAGAAACUGGUCGCUUUUGAACUUGACCUUCUGGAAUCUAGCAUCAAGUUCCUCACUAUCACAUCUCCAAAACUGAAAAUUAAGCCACGAACUUUCGAAUGGAAUUUUCAUCAGAAAAGCCUAUUUAUAGCUUCCUUGCUCUCAAUCUAACUGACCUGGCUCUCCUCUUCCUUCCAGUUCCCUCAUUUUGACCCAUAUGAUGCACUCCUAUGAAGCUGCAACAUUUUACAUGACAUGACAUUCAAGUACAUGCACUUAGAGCUGACCACAAAGGUUUUAUGUUCACCGAUGUCAGCUUUAUACCAUGAUCUGGAGGACUUCCAUUUCUUUCUAGGAUCCUUUUCAUCAUCAAAAGCAUCAGGAGGAUGGCAUGUGAAAAAGCAUGGGGGAAAAGCUGGAAACAAAACGACUCACCUUUGUAAGACCAAGGCCUGCUGAAGACUUGAGAGAAGGUUUCACAGCAGAUUUCUCAUGAGAAAAGCCCUGGCUGUUGGCUCUUUUGCCUGGCUUCACAAUGUGACAUUUUGCUUUUAUUACAGUGAAAAACAAAUUAAGAGUACAUGAAAAUACCUGAAAUUUCAAAUCGGUGAAUAACCCAGAAUAACCCAAGAAUAGACAGUCUCAAAUAGCUUACUUUCUUUUUCCUCCUUCUUGGAUUGCAGAAAAGUAUCCAUUAGCUCCUUUAAGUUUGGUUUCUGCAUGUUGUAGAAAAAAAGUAAUAGCUUUAAGAAUCACAAGCACCAAAUUUGAGAAAAUACGUAUAAUAGUCACCAUUUACUAGAUGAUCUAACAUAGAGACCUCAGGCUUUGAAAUCAUUCAAAUGUAGACACAAAUCUCAGUUCUGCCAUUUACUCUCCUACAUCUUCUCAGGGGCGAGGACUGUGAGAGAUGAUAUAUGUGGCCCCAAAAUAUUACUAUCCUUACUGCUAAUUGAUUAUUAUACAAACAAAUACUAUGAUAUCUACUAGAUUCUUUUCUUUACCAGAACCACCAAAACAAAAAUUUAUACCUCAGUAGUUUAAAGUAUUAUUGGAAAAAGAAAUAUUAAGAAUUAUCAAUUUUUGUUACAUUUUUACAUGUGUUUGCCAUGAUUUAUAUUUGCAUAAAUUGUCUUGUAGGGGAAAAUAGAAGUUUGUUUAGAAGUCUCUUAUUUAGAUGAACUGGAAUUGCAAACUGUUUAAGUUGCUUCUCCUCUGGAGGCUUUUGCUCAUAGUAUAUCCAUAAAUACACUAUGUAUAUACAUUUAUAAAUACUGGAAUACAUAUUUUUUCUACAUACCUUACUGUAUAUAAUAUAUGUAAAAUACAGCCUUUUGUUCAUACUGUAUCCCUAAUCAUACUGAUUUGUAUUAUUCGACAAUUAUUUGUUUAUAACUACUACUGUAAUAAGGAGUUAAUUUUGUCACUGUAAAAUAAGUCAUCCAGUUAGCUGAAUGUGGUCAUCUACCACUACCUAAAAGCUGUAAAUUAUUGUGAAAGAGAGAAAAAGAUAGAAAAAGAAAUGUCCCAAACACACCAAUUUUCCACUUGGUGAAAAAACUGAUACUCAGAAUUCUGAGGAAAAAUACAUAGCUUUAAAAGGUGUAUCUAUUGGAAAAGCUAUAUCUAAUGAGAUGGGCCUAAAAAAGGUUGAAAAUUUUUAAGAUGAAAUUGUAAGAUCACAACUGGAGGCUGCUAAAAAACAUACUGUCAUCUUUCUUAUCAUCACAUAUUUCUAACAUACUUCCUCCUUAUUAAUGAUGCACUUUUUCAACAAAACUCAAUUGAACUUAUACAUCCUAAAUAUUAAAAGGGAAUAUGUAGGCCAUAUAUUAAGGAAUGCAAACAGGUUUAAUGAGGAUCAUGCAUAUUCUCUUACUUGUAAUGUUCUAUUACAGAAUUCCAUUUAUCAUUUAGUCACACUGAAAAAAUGUGAAACUGCUUCUUCCAUGCCAGACCUUAUUCCAGGUGACCCACGAGGUACACGAUUAUGUUUCAUAACCUCCAGUAGUGAGGCAGGGGUGUUAAAAUGAAUACUGAAAUAACUAUAACUUAAAAAAUCUCUGAAGUAUGAAAUUUUAGAAUGUGAUACAAAGAUGCUGAAUAGGUAUUUUUUUUAACUAUAAAACAAAAAUUUGAGCAAACUGCAUAUUUUCCCAUAUGGCUAGUAGGAGUCCCUGUUUUUAGAGCUGGUUGUUACUUUACGCAAAACAUUUAUCCCUAAAUUACAUCAAGAGUUUAAAAUUUAUUCUUAAAGAAAUGAUUUAGAAAACAGUUGAAUCCCAUUGUAAUAUUAAUUUCAAAAGAGGGCAUUGAAAUACGUAAAUUUCCACAAUUUUUAAUAUUAUUUUAGUCCAAAUGCAGAAUCAAUGAUAGGAAUAGAAAAAAAUCUCUCCUAACAGUUGUAUGAUACCAAAAUAAAAAGUGUCCCCCCCCCAAAAAAACACCCCUAUGAUAUAUGCUAUAUAGUUUUUGAAAUAAAAGGCACCAAGAAGAAUCCAUGAUUAUUAAAAUAAGUAAAUCGAUCCAUUACAGAAUUCCUUUAUGCAUGAGUAUUACAUAAGUGAUAUCAGUAUGAUUUCAAAAUCACAGUAACAAUUGUUAUUCUUGACCAAAUUUCCUAUUUUCCCCACUGUAGGAACGCUCGUCCCAAUAUAAUUCUCCUAUUGCUAUACAUGUCCCAGCCAUUUUUCUCCUCAGCUCUUAUCUACAGUAUUUACCAAAGUAAAAAAAAAAAAAAAAAAUUUAACUAGUAGUAUUUCUAUAAAGUGGUUUGCUCUGACAAACUUUCCAUUACAAACACAGAAUUAUGAUUGACGGACCAGUGCUAUAUUUAGGAGUAAAAACUAUAAAAAUUUGAAUACAGAGCAUGAUAAUUAAUUUGACGAGAGCAUUGUACCUUUUCAUCAAAAUCAAAGUCUUCGUCAGUGGACUCAGGAAAGGAAUCAUCAAUGCCAGAUAUCCUGUAAAGAUGUGCGGCAAACAAAUGUAACAAAAGAGUGAGUUAAUUUCUUUAUAAAAAAAAAAAAAAAAACAGUGAAGAAACAUGAGUAUCUAUUCACUGAGGAUUUUUGAUAUAUCCAACCGGUUUGGCCUUGGUUUUCAUAAAACCUUUAAAUAACUUUCUUAACUAUGGCUUAAAGUUAAUAAAUAAUAUAAAUAUUUUAAUACUGAUAUGAAAAACAUUCACCAAAUAUAUUAAACUCUAAAGAGUAUUUUGGCUAAUAACACAGAGCCAAUAUCCAAAUGUUAAUUAGUCCAUAAUUAGUCCAAAUUUGUAAGUUCUACAAACUUUUUACUGGGUAAAUAAUUAGAGAAGGAAAAUAGUAAGAUAGUAAGGUGGACCAGUCAUGAAGUGAGGGCACUACGGCUCAGUAAAUGACUCAGAGUCAGCUGGCCAUACGGAUGUUAUCCUGCACUCAGAAGGCCUAGCUCUGUAACCAACAGCUAUUUGUUCUUGGAUAAGCUGCUUCUCUUCAAUUCAAAGUCUUGCUCUAGAAAGUAGGGAUCCUGCCACCUUCUUUUACAAGGUUGCUAGGAGGGUUUCAGGAGUUACUGUGUCCCCAAAAUGCUCAGAGAAACACUUGUGCAAUGGAAUGAUAUGUUCUUUAACUUGAAAUUAUUUUGGAAUAGUAAAUAAAACCCAAUGUGAGUUUUCACAGGUUCUGACAGAUUAGUUGCCGUGUUUUGAAAAUGUUUAUUAUUUCUGGUUGUCAGCGGUUCUUUCUUCGUGGGAAUACAUGGCAUCUCAGCUGUUAUGAAGUUAUUUAUCAAUAUAUUAUCUCAUCACAUUACAUGUAAUGUCCCCUAACAUUGUAGCUAAUCACACCAAGGGUAGAACUCUGUUCCAAGUCAAAACCUGGCUUCAACUGCUCCUAUUCCUUCUCCAUCUAACUCAAACUCUGAACCAGCAGAUCUUACUUGAAUGAUGCUUCAUCUCCAUGUGUGUCUUCAGUUGACUUGGAAGACUGACCCCCACUCCUGUAUGUGUAACAAAGAUGAGUGAGUUUGUUUAAAAAAAAAAAAGAA